ACGCCUUUUUAUUUUUAAAUUUUUAUUUUACAAACUAUUAUAAAAAUAUAAAAAGUAUGGUUGCAAUAAAUAUGAUUAGUAUACAUAUAUUAGGCGCUGUCGGAUUUAUAAUGAUUUGUAAAAGUAAAGAUAUUUUAAGACUAUCUGUUGAAAUUUUUAUUGGUUCAAUUUUUACAUUAACUUUACUACAAUUAUCCUUUUACUUUAACAAACACUACUAUCAAAUUUUAAAAAAUAUUGUAUUAGAAAAACAUGUAAUUGAACAAACACAAAUUUUUAAAAAAUACAAACAAACAUAUGAUUCUAAUAUGGCUACUUUAAAAAAAAUAACUCUCCAAAUUAUUAAAACUUGUUUAUUAUGUUUUAAUGGUAUAAUGACAUAUGCACACGACACUAUAUUUAUUUUUGUUAAUUUGUAUUCAAACAAAGUAAAAACUAUAACAAAUGAUUCUAUAUUAAUAGAUAAUAACAAAACAAACAAAAAUGUAUUAAAUAGUGAUCCAAAGAUAAAAAAUAAAAAGGUAAUAGAUUCGAAAAAUAUGUUACAAAAGCAAGAAGAAACAGAACAAAAUAAAAAAAAAGAAAAGGAACAGAAAGAAUACAUUACAUUAUAUAAAAGUAUUAAAAAAUUAAUUAGCAGUUUAUAUAAUUCAUCAAUAAUACACCUUAUAGUAUUAGAAUUACCAAAAGAAAAUAUUUCCAUAAAUACAGAAAAAAACUUGAAAAAUCCAUCUAAACAUUUAAAAAUAUGGAAAAGUAUUUUUUAUUUUAUUAAAGAAUUAACAUUAAAUUAUUUAGUAUAUACUAUUUGCUUAAUAUUACCAGUAUAUUAUGGUUUUAAAGCUUAUAAUGAUGCAAUAUUGGGCUUAUGUGUACAUGGUGGUUUAAGAUGGCUUAUAGAAAUACAUUUAACGAAAAUGUUUAAAAAAGACAGCAAAGUUAAAUUUCAUUAAUACAUAGAAAAAGGUAACUGGAAGAAAAAAAAAAAGAAAUUUGACUUAACAGUAUGUAUCGAUAAGCAUAAUAUCAUAUACUACUAUUCUUAUUUUAUUAAUUAUAUUUAAAAAUUUAUAGUUAAUAAAUAUGUAACAUUUUUAUUUUUUAUUUAUUUA
rnacentral:lncRNA from 1 species